UACUGAGGGUGCGAGCGUUGUUCGGAAUCACUGGGCGUAAAGGGCGUGUAGGCGGUCUGUUAAGUCUGAUGUGAAAGCCCGGGGCUCACCCCCGGAAGUGCAUUGGAUACUGGCGGACUCGAGUCUCGGAGAGGAGGGUGGAAUUCCUGGUGUAGCGGUGAAAUGCGUAGAUAUCAGGAGGAACACCGGUGGCGAAGGCGGCCCUCUGGACGAUGACUGACGCUGAGACGCGAAAGCGUGGGGAGCAAACAGG
rnacentral:rRNA from 1 species